rnacentral:rRNA from 1 species
UACGUAGGGACCAAGCGUUGUUCGGAUUUACUGGGCGUAAAGGGCGCGUAGGCGGCGUGUUAAGUCACUUGUGAAAUCUCUAAGCUUAACUUAGAACGGUCAAGUGAUACUGAUGUGCUAGAGUGCAGAAGGGGCAACCGGAAUUCCUGGUGUAGCGGUGAAAUGCGCAGAUAUCAGGAGGAACACCGGUGGCGAAGGCGGGUCUCUGGGCCGAUACUGACGCUGAGGAGCGAAAGCCAGGGGAGCAAACGGG